AAGUGAUUAAAGUGGAGCUUAUUGAAGUGGGUUAUAUAGAAUGAGAACAACAAACAAAAUCCUUUGGGAAUGCGUGUAAUUGUUCUGUUCCUUUUUGAGUGUAAGAUUUCUGUACUCAAUUUUGUUCAGCAAGUGUUCUGACUAUUCUCCUCUUGCAGGAAGAGCUUGCACUCGCAUUUGGUGAAUUGUUGAGGAAACUCUGGUCUUUUGGUCGAACUCCAAUUGCACCUCGUGUAUUUAAGGGGAAAGUUGCCCGUUUUGCUCCCCAGUUUAGUGGUUAUAAUCAUCAUGAUUCGCAGUUUGUCAGGAACAUGAAUUUCAUCAAUCAAUUAUCUGAUACUAGAAUUUGAUAUUGAGGCAAAGCUACAGUGGUUAUGGGAACGAGUGGUGCUAGAAAAUCGAAUUACAUUCGUCAUCUUUACUUCUGGCUGGGGGAUUCUUGAGCAGGAUUCUUGGACAUUUGCAGGCUCUGCUAGCUACUGUUGAAUUUUAUUCUUCCUUAUAUAUAUUCAUCCUAUGAGGAGUUCGAAUCAUGGUAAGCAACUUCUAUUUGACUGAUAGAUAUUGAUUAAUAUAAUACUUGAAUAUAUAUCUUUUAUGUGAAGUGUUUUAACUAUUUUUGCAGAUGCAGUUGACCCCAUAUUUGAUUGGUUAGAAUUGCAGCUUGUAGUCUAUCUUAUUUGUUAUGUCGGAUCUCAUGUUCGACUUCUUGGGCAGGUGCAGUAACGAAGCCCUCAAGGAAGAGAUGGAAGAGAAAAGAAGGGCUCAGGUGCACUUUAAGUUAUGUAAUGUGCUACCUCAGACGAUUGCCUAUUUGGUGCCUAUUUUUUUAGUUUGUCACUUUAAUAAUUCUGAAGGUAGCGGCCAUUCUUCAUUUUUCACUCUUUCUAAUCUCUAUUGCAGAUUACUUUCAUGAGGAAGAAGGAUUUCAGGAAAGAGCAACUAGUUCUUGAGGACUUGGCGCUAGAACCCAUAGUAUGAUAGAUUUUCGUUUUAGCUAUAAGAUAGUUGGUACUUUCAAUUUUGAAUCGAAUAUGCAAUGAUGAUGUAUACUUGAUAAUUGGUUCAUUUGGAUGGUAAUGUAUGAAUAUUUUGGAUGAUAUAUAAAAUUGUUAUUGUUGAUUUUAUCA